rnacentral:rRNA from 1 species
GAUGAACGCUGGCGGCGUGCCUAAUACAUGCAAGUCGAGCGAACGGACGAGAAGCUUGCUUCUCUGAUGUUAGCGGCGGACGGGUGAGUAACACGUGGAUAACCUACCUAUAAGACUGGGAUCACUUCGGGAAACCGGAGCUAAUACCGUAUAAUAUUUUGAACCGCAUGGUUCAAAAGUGAAAGACGGUCUUGCUGUCACUUAUAGAUGGAUCCGCGCUGCAUUAGCUAGUUGGUAAGGUAACGGCUUACCAAGGCAACGAUGCAUAGCCGACCUGAGAGGGUGAUCGGCCACACUGGAACUGAGACACGGGCAAGACUCCUACGGGAGGCAGCAGAAGGGAAUCUUCCGCAAUGGGCGAAAGCCUGACGGAGCAACGCCGCGUGAGUGAUGAAGGUCUUCGGAUCGUAAAACUCUGUUAUUAGGGAAGAACAUAUGUGUAAGUAACUGUGCACAUCUUGACGGUACCUAAUCAGAAAGCCACGGCUAACUACGUG